CGAAGUCCUUCCGAAGCUUCCGGAGCUCUUCGUCUCGAAUUUUGAGUUCGUUCUUGUGUUUCUCCUCUUCUUUUUGUCGUUCUAGUUUCUCACGCCUGCACUCUUCACGCACCUGGCGGAUUUCCGCUUCUAGGCUGUUCAUUUGCACCUUCAUCUCAUGCAUGCACAUCGCGUGUUUCUCGAGCGUCAAGUGACGUUCCAUUUCGUCAUCACCAGCCUUGAAUGUGCACCCCAAAGCGGCCAUCUUGCAAAGCUUCGGUGUUUUGCGGCAACCGGCGCCAUGUUCCUCUAAGCUGCCGCGUCUAAUGCUCUCUUGGUUGCAGUACUGACACGUGACCGGAUAAUCCUGACAGUCCUUAAAGUGACUCCCAAUCUCGGAGACGAAAUAGUUUCCGUGGCAGAAACGGCACUCCUGCGUACGCCUGGGACACUCAUCGGUCAAGUGUUUUGGCAGGUCGGUGUUGGAGACAAUGGAGGAACACUCGUUGGGACACGGCGUCGGACGUCGAGGGCAGGUGCGGAGGUGGUCCACACAGUUAUGAGGGAUGGCCGUUUGAUACUUGCAGCCAAAUAUUGAACCAGGACACAGCAAGAGGCUGCUUCCGUUGCAGUGGGGACAUCGAGGCGCUUGCGAAGAGGUCGAUGGAGGAUGCCCCACAAUACUCGCACAUUCCCAAUAAGUCCAGCGACGGCGGUGGAGAAAAACGGACGGCUGGCAUGUUGGCACAACGAGACGUCCCGUCGAGUGCGGUGGGAUGCAAGCGCUCCAGAGGCGAAAACAGCUCCAACGAGGAACGCACGUAAUAAAGAUAUCGGGUUCCCUGGGUUACGUGGCGUGCUGUAAUAUGUGGUGACGCACAGAGGAAACGGUUGGCGAUAAGUGCUUGCGCAGGAAAUGGAAUGGCGUCGUAACUUGUACUAACGAUUGCUUAAGUUGUGCGGGAUACGUGUGUAGCCCACCGCGGGAUAUUUGAUUGUUGCUUUAUGACAAGUGCGAAGUAACAAGGAGCCUGGCUGGAAGAAGGAAAAUGAAUACUUCUAAACAGAUGUGAUUAUCGCUGUGGACAUCAUCAGCAAAAUGCCUCGAUGGAUACCAUCUGGAAGCUUCCCAG